rnacentral:rRNA from 1 species
UGCAGUCGACGGUGAGCCAGCUUGCUGGGUGGAUCAGUGGCGAACGGGUGAGUAACACGUGAGCAACCUGCCCCUGACUCUGGGAUAAGCGCUGGAAACGGCGUCUAAUACUGGAUAUGUACCACGAUCGCAUGGUCUGUGGUUGGAAAGAUUUUUCGGUUGGGGAUGGGCUCGCGGCCUAUCAGCUUGUUGGUGAGGUAAUGGCUCACCAAGGCGUCGACGGGUAGCCGGCCUGAGAGGGUGACCGGCCACACUGGGACUGAGACACGGCCCAGACUCCUACGGGAGGCAGCAGUGGGGAAUAUUGCACAAUGGGCGCAAGCCUGAUGCAGCAACGCCGCGUGAGGGAUGACGGCCUUCGGGUUGUAAACCUCUUUUAGCAGGGAAGAAGCGAAAGUGACGGUACCUGCAGAAAAAGCGCCGGCUAACUACGUGCCAGCAGCCGCGGUAAUACGUAGGGCGCAAGCGUUAUCCGGAAUUAUUGGGCGUAAAGAGCUCGUAGGCGGUUUGUCGCGUCUGCUGUGAAAUCCGGAGGCUCAACCUCCGGCCUGCAGUGGGUACGGGCAGACUAGAGUGCGGUAGGGGAGAUUGGAAUUCCUGGUGUAGCGGUGGAAUGCGCAGAUAUCAGGAGGAACACCGAUGGCGAAGGCAGAUCUCUGGGCCGUAACUGACGCUGAGGAGCGAAAGGGUGGGGAGCAAACAGGCUUAGAUACCCUGGUAGUCCACCCCGUAAACGUUGGGAACUAGUUGUGGGGUCCAUUCCACGGAUUCCGUGACGCAGCUAACGCAUUAAGUUCCCCGCCUGGGGAGUACGGCCGCAAGGCUAAAACUCAAAGGAAUUGACGGGGACCCGCACAAGCGGCGGAGCAUGCGGAUUAAUUCGAUGCAACGCGAAGAACCUUACCAAGGCUUGACAUAUACGAGAACGGGCCAGAAAUGGUCAACUCUUUGGACACUCGUAAACAGGUGGUGCAUGGUUGUCGUCAGCUCGUGUCGUGAGAUGUUGGGUUAAGUCCCGCAACGAGCGCAACCCUCGUUCUAUGUUGCCAGCACGUAAUGGUGGGAACUCAUGGGAUACUGCCGGGGUCAA